UCAGCUCUCUUUGCCUUUUGGCUUAGAUCAAGUGUAGUAACUGUUCUUUUUAGUUUAAUCUCUAGAACGCCCCUACGGGGGUAGACCUAGUUUGCUUGUUUUUGGAAAUUGGUUGGUGGCCGCUGAGCUCCGCUCAUGUCACUGACCACAGUGUCGCCUGUAUUGCACUGUCUCGGGCUGAUGCGAACUUCU
rnacentral:snRNA from 1 species